UGAAGAGAGGACAUGCUGCCUCCACUCAAAGUACCGGUGCUGUCCAGGAUGCUGGGCCUGGAGGAGCAAUGGAGGCUGAGCUCUGAAGUUACUGCCAUCACAGCCUGGUACGAAAUCUAACAUGAGUGUGUUGCUGCUGCGGUUCGGCCUUGUCAGGAUCAGGUAGUGCAGAAAAGCUGACAAAGACAACGCUGCCUGGCUUCGCUGGCAG